GAACUGCGAUAAGUAAUGUGAAUUGCAGAAUUCAGUGAAUCAUCGAGUCUUUGAACGCACAUUGCGCCCCCUGGCAUUCCGGGGGGCAUGCCUGUCCGAGCGUCAUUACUGCCCUUCAAGCCCGGCUUGUGUGUUGGGUCGUCGUCCCCUCCGGGGGACGGGCCCGAAAGGCAGCGGCGGCACCGCGUCCGGUCCUCGAGCGUAUGGGACUUUGUCACCCGCUCGAUAAGGACCGGCCGGGCGCCAGCCGGCGUCUCCAACCUUUUUUUCUCAGGUUGACCUCGGAUCAGGUAGGGAUACCCGCUGAACUUAAGC
rnacentral:misc_RNA from 1 species